UUGAGCCGAGUGCUUGGAAACUUGCACGCUCGGUUCUUAGGGAAGAAGGGAGCAGCAAUGCUCCUGCCUUACCCGAC
rfam:Stanieria cyanosphaera PCC 7437, complete genome.